GAUGAACGCUGGCGGCGUGCCUAACACAUGCAAGUCGAACGGAAAGACCCUGCUCUUGUGGGGCUCUUGAUUGGCGAACGGGUGAGUAACACGUGAGUAUCCUGCCCUUGUCUUUGGGAUAACUUCAGGAAACAGGGGCUCUAAUCGGAUAUGAGCUCCUGCUGCAUGUUGUGGGUUGGAAAGUUUCGGCGGUUGUGUCUGGAUUGGCGGCUUAUCGGCUUGUUUGUGGGGUAGUGGCUUACAAAGGCUUUGACGGAUAGCCGGCAUGAGAGGGUGACCGGCGACAAUGGGACUGAGGGACGGACCAGACUCCAACGGGAGGCAGCAGGGGGGAGUAUUGCAGAGUGGGCGGAAGCCUGAGGCAGAAACGCCGCGUGCGGGAUGACGGCCUUCGGGUGGUAAACCGAUUUCGCCUGUGACGAGGCGGGAGUGACGGUAAUGGGUAAAGAAGCACCGGCUAACUACGUG
rnacentral:rRNA from 1 species